rnacentral:rRNA from 1 species
UGCAGUCGACGCUUCUUUUUCCACCGGAGCUUGCUCCACCGGAAAAAGAAGAGUGGCGAACGGGUGAGUAACACGUGGGUAACCUGCCCAUCAGAAGGGGAUAACACUUGGAAACAGGUGCUAAUACCGUAUAACAAUCAAAACCGCAUGGUUUUGAUUUGAAAGGCGCUUUCGGGUGUCGCUGAUGGAUGGACCCGCGGUGCAUUAGCUAGUUGGUGAGGUAACGGCUCACCAAGGCCACGAUGCAUAGCCGACCUGAGAGGGUGAUCGGCCACAUUGGGACUGAGACACGGCCCAAACUCCUACGGGAGGCAGCAGUAGGGAAUCUUCGGCAAUGGACGAAAGUCUGACCGAGCAACGCCGCGUGAGUGAAGAAGGUUUUCGGAUCGUAAAACUCUGUUGUUAGAGAAGAACAAGGAUGAGAGUAACUGUUCAUCCCUUGACGGUAUCUAACCAGAAAGCCACGGCUAACUACGUGCCAGCAGCCGCGGUAAUACGUAGGUGGCAAGCGUUGUCCGGAUUUAUUGGGCGUAAAGCGAGCGCAGGCGGUUUCUUAAGUCUGAUGUGAAAGCCCCCGGCUCAACCGGGGAGGGUCAUUGGAAACUGGGAGACUUGAGUGCAGAAGAGGAGAGUGGAAUUCCAUGUGUAGCGGUGAAAUGCGUAGAUAUAUGGAGGAACACCAGUGGCGAAGGCGGCUCUCUGGUCUGUAACUGACGCUGAGGCUCGAAAGCGUGGGGAGCAAACAGGAUUAGAUACCCUGGUAGUCCACGCCGUAACGAUGAGUGCUAAGUGUUGGAGGGUUUCCGCCCUUCAGUGCUGCAGCUAACGCAUUAAGCACUCCGCCUGGGGAGUACGACCGCAAGGUUGAAACUCAAAGGAAUUGACGGGGGCCCGCACAAGCGGUGGAGCAUGUGGUUUAAUUCGAAGCAACGC